GGGCUGGGUGGAACAACCACUGGGGGCUUGGGUGGCCGCGCUCCUGCUCAGGAUGGCCUUUGGCCAGCCCCGCCACUGAGAGUUGUUGUCAUUUCUUGGAGCCUGUCCCCUGGUUGGGUCGUCCUGUCCCACAGGCCACACGUGGGUCCGAGCCGCCUCCACGGGAGGGCAGCUGUUGGGGGGGUGUCUUCAGCAGCUCUGCGUCCCUGGGGCCUGCACUGGGGUAGCUGCAGUCUCCUCAGAGAAAUGUCCCCUGACCCUGGCCUGACCGCCCUUCUUUAGGCCUGGAAGGGUCAGUUUGUGCUCCUGGGGCUCAGAGACCUGGGGGGGGGCCCCAGCCAGUGCCACCGUGUUCACCUGGGGCUGCUGGAGCGGUGACAGCGCUGGGGGAAUGCACGCCCUGUAGGAGGUGACAGCUGGUCUCUCCGGGCACUUUCACUGCCCUUGGUCCCAAAGCCACGGUCCAGCUUGGCUUUUGGUGACUCCAGGGCUCACCCCGAGCAGCCCUCAGCCUCAGCCACGGGGAGGCCAGCGGAGGCCGAGGCAGUGGCUCCACGAGCCCGGGUGUCGGGAGCCUGUCCUCCGGCACCUUCCCUCCUCUGCUUCGUCCCCCGCCCGGCUGUCGCAUGUGGAACUCCUCAGGUCCCCGUGCAUGUUCUCAGGGGGGCUUUUGUAAGAUGCUGCUGCCUGGCCGCUACCCUGGAGAUGUGUCCGCGGCAGCCACGGGUAAUUUCUUUCUCUCCUUCUUUCAUUUCCUCUGGCCGCACCCACGGCAUGCGGAACUUCCCGCCCCAGGGAUGGCACCCUCCGCCAUGGCAGUGACACGAGCCAUAGUGGUGACAAUGCCAGAUCUGUAAGCCGACUUUCUCCUUUGUAAAUGUUUCUGAAAAUUCGUAAAAGUCACUUUUUAAAAAAAGCCCUCUCAAAAUGGAAAAAUAGAAAUCAUACAACGUUUAAAAAAAAAGAAAGAAACAAUCUGUUGAAACAUACAUGGCCUGAAGUUCACAUUUUGCUGGCUUUUAGGGUCUCUAGUUCUGUGGCCUCAAGCACACAUGCUGCUGUUCAGCCGGCACCACUGUCCAUCUCUUGAAUGCUGAUCUCGCACAGCUGGAUCGCUGUCCCCGGGCAGCAGGAACCCCCCCUCCUGCCACAGCCCCCCGGCAGCCACCGUUCUCCUUUCCACCUCUUCGCGUGCGGACAGCGGUAGGGCCUCGUGCCAGUGGAGCUGUAUGGUAUUUGUCCUUCAGCGUCUGACUUCUUUGGUCCAGCCUGUCUCCAGGUUCAUCCGUGGUGCAUCGUGGGUCCGAAUUUCCUGCCUUUUGAAGGGUGAGUGAUGGUCCCAUAUGCGUCUGUCCCACAUUUGUUCAUCCCUGGGUCUGCGGAUGGACCUCUGGGUUGUGCUCCUCUUUUGGCUGUCGUGGAUGCUGCUGCCGUGACGAUGGCUGUGCAAACAUCUCUUGAGGCUCUGCUUUCAGUCUUGUGUGGUUUCUCUAGUGGAAUUGCUGGCCCCUAUGUUCUUGCGUGUGUGACGUCGAGGGACCCGUGACUCUGUCUUCUGCGGCAGCUGCGCUGUGUCGCGUUGCUACCAGUGAAGCUCAGGGAUUCCAGUUUUCCCACGCUUCUCACCACGGCUUCUGUUUUCUGUUCGUGUGGGUUUUGUUUGCUUGAUGAAAACCAUCCUAAUAGCUGUGAGGCGAUGUCUCAUUAUGGUUUUGAUUUGCAUUGGAGAUGAAGCAUUUAGAUACUUCCCCAGGGGUGCCCGUGAGCACCCAGAAUUGAGAACCAGCAAGUACCCGGCCAUUGGUUAUCAGGCGCUGUCAGGCGCUGAUCUGGGUGCCCGUUACCCUCCUCGGUCAUGGGGAGACGGGAACCAUUCUCCUUUCUGCGGAGGAGAAACUCGGGCACAGAGGUGGGUGAACGCCGCACAGUUAGCAGGUGGUGGGGCAGAGUCACACCCACAUCCGUGGGCCCCAGAGCGCCUCCCUCUGGGCCUCGUUGCUCCUUAGCCCCCAGCUGACCAGGCUGCUCAGGGAACCUUCCACUCCAGGAAGCAAAAGCCUCCGGGGCACCAGGGCAGCUCCGAUUUGCAAGGGGGCCGUCCGGUCUAAAGACGAAAUCAAGAUGAAAUCUAUUCUUGAAAGGAAUGUUUUUAUUUUUAGUGAGGAGGUGUGAUUGAGAAGAGUUGUUUCAUUUUAAAUAACCGAUGGUUCUCCCGCUUCCAGCUAGUAGUUUAAUAGUUACCUUGUAAUCAUUUAUUCAAAUAAAACUCAUGCAGAGGCUGUGUUUUCAGGGGCAGCAAUCCAGAAUCCACGGCGUUUCUGUCUCUCGUAUUUCCCCAGGGCCCGGAGCAGGGCCGCGUGUGAGAGCUGGGGCAUGACAACAGUGCCCCCUCGUGGGAACUGGAAAUGCGGCCCUGGCACCUGUAGCAACUUUGUCCGAAAGCUGGGAGCAGGGAUUUCUGUUCCCAGCCCUGUCUAGGUCUGUUUUUGGUCAAGGGGCGUAAAAAGCCACUCUUUUCCAAGAGUCGUUCUUGCUGCAGGGGGACCAAAGGCAGAGUUAGGGCCCCGAGUGACAGAGACAAUGGCAGAUUCAGUCUUGCUCCCCUUGCUGACCCCAAACUGCCUCCCGGAGGGGACUUUCCACUGGAGCCCGGGCGUUGGCCGGAGGCUGGUUGGCUCCCACGCCACCCACAAAGCAGGCUGGGAACGUCUGAGCCUGGGAUUCCCGCCCCAGAGCCUUUGCUCUCAGAGGGUCUAGAAUGGGCAGAACCUCGCUGCCUCCCUUCCCUCCCUAGAGAAAUAUAACUCCCUUAUCGGAAUACAAUUCAUAUACCAAACAAUUUACACAUGUAAGUAUAUAAUCCAGUGGCUUUUCAUGUUUUCACAGAGUUGUGCAGCCAUCACCACAGUCAGUUUUAGAAUGUGCUUGGAGUUCCCGUCGUGGUUCAAUGGGUUAAAGACCCCAACAUUGUGUCCGUGAGGAUGCGAGUUCGAUCCCUGGCAUUGCUCAGUGGGUUAAGGAUCCAGCAUUGCUGAAAACUGUAGUGUAGGUCACAGAUGCGGCUCAGAUCGUGCAAUGCUGUGACUGUGGUGUAGGCUGGCAGCUGCAGCUCUGAUUCAACCCCUCACCUGGAAACUUCCAUAUGCCGUAGGUGGGGCCCUAAAAAAAAAA
rnacentral:lncRNA from 1 species